UACAGAGGUGGCAAGCGUUGUUCGGAAUUACUGGGCGUAAAGGGCGCGUAGGCGGCCAUCUAAGUCAGACGUGAAAUCCCCCGGCUUAACCUGGGAACUGCGUCUGAUACUGGACGGCUUGAGUAUGGGAGAGGGAUGUAGAAUUCCAGGUGUAGCGGUGAAAUGCGUAGAUAUCAGGAGGAACACCGGUGGCGAAGGCGGCUUUCUGGACAGAAACUGACGCUGAGGCGCGAAAGCUAGGGGAGCAAACAGG
rnacentral:rRNA from 1 species